CUAUAAAAAAAACCAUGAGAUUACUUUCAGUAUAAACAAUAUUUAACGCCUUUUUCUCUGGCUUGUGUAAUCUGUUCUUUGCAAAGAUAGAGCCAUGAAAAUCUUUUUAAUUAGUUCUCUGUGGGACUCACCUUUCAGGUGUGUGUGUUUAGUCUUUUAACUUUGAAAGUCAGAUUUUAUAUUUUUCAGGGCUGUCUUUCUUUUCAGUUUUAAAGUGUACGUGUUCCACUGCUGAGCAGACAGAUGCAGAUCGCACAUCGAUAACCUUCCAUGUUAUGUCUGUGUUUCUGCACCAUUUUGCUUGCAUGUCAUGAUAAAAAGGAAAAGUCUCUGAAAUGGAGGCACUUGUGUAACUAUCUGUGGUACAAUUCCAUAUUGAAAACCAAAUAUAUUAUGUGUAAUUGAUAAUUAAGUUGGUGCUGUUGAGCAACAGGUCCUGCUGGCAGCGACUUCAUCUGUAACAAAUAUUAAUGCUCUUGAGGUUUGUGUUAAUAAGUGUAUGAAAGAUAGUAGGCAGAAAACAGCCAUGUUGUGCACAGCUCAGAGUAGAAUUUGGUGAUUAUGGCAAGAACACUGACUGCUGUCUUGCUUAAAGAUCUUAUUUCUAGUAUGCCUACCGUAAAGGGGUGGAGAAUGUGGUCAUAACUAGUUAAUUAAAAUUGCAUGCUUAACUAAGGUACAUUUCCUUUGUGUUAACCUAGGGUAGUGGCUUUUUCCUGGCCCAGAAUACAGCAGUGCAAGAACAGUAUUCCUCCAUGUUGGUUAGUAUAGUGUUCUGUCUUGAUGAGCAGCUCAUUAACCUCUGGGACCAGAAUCAGGCUUUGGUGCAUUGAUUGUCCUAGCUGGGCCCCGUUGGAGGGUUAAGUAAGUGCAGGAGGAGAGUUUGAUGUUGAAAUAUUGCAGUUGAUCUGAAAUGGUAACUUUGUUCAGAGAGCCUUUAAAAAUGAGCAUUUUGUUCUAAAGUAUUGUCUUAAAACUAGUGAUUUUACAGACUAAUGCAAGAAAGAUGUGGUAUUAAGUGACUUUUUUAAACAAAAAAUCAUAUUCUUUUUAAAUAUACAGGAAAUAUUUUGUUUUUUGAAAAAUCAUCUUAAAAUGAAAUCUGUUCAAAAUCAUUUGUCCUUUUUAUCACUCCCUGGGAUCCAUUGCACUAAUCACUGUUCCAUUAUAAAAAUAUCUAAGAUCAGGAUAAUGAGUUACAAUAGUCUGAAGUGCUUCUGGCAAAAUGUACAUUUCUGAGUUGUCAUACUAAACAUACCUUAAAAUGCUUUUUGCUCCAUUGCAGUUUUGGAACUGCUAAUUUAUUUAGUUUUGUUCUUGUGGUGGUGGGAGCAGGGAAUCGGGAAGAUGUCCCAAGAUGAUAAACGUAGCCAGAAGUCACUAAUUUAAAGAACUCUUAAGCCAUAGGAGUAAAGGAUCUGAAGCUAUUGGUGAGGUCACCUCAGGACUUGCAAUUAAUCCAAAUGUUAAGAAGCACAUUUGAGAUCAUUGCUGUUACUAAGGCUUCUGUUAACAAAAGGUUGGUUUAUUUAUUUUUUUAAAAACUCAUAGUUUCAGCUGCACGUCUGACGAUGUCAGGUUAUCUGUGGUUGAAAGAGGUUUUGGUGCUUUGUGUCUUCCAAGGAGCUUGAUCAUCUGUUCACUUGAGACCUCCAGGAAAUGGAAAAACAAGCUCCAGAUGUCGCCUCUGCUGAAUCCCCCUGUGUUUUUGAGACCGGAAAUGGAGAUUACCACUACUUUGGAAGACUAAAG